GUGUCCUAAGAUGAGCUCAACGAGAA
rnacentral:ncRNA from 2 species